rnacentral:rRNA from 1 species
AUUGAACGCUGGCGGCAGGCCUAACACAUGCAAGUCGGGCGUGCCGCGGACUGGUGUGUCAUUUAUUGGGAUCUGCCUGAUGGCGGGGGAUCCCUUCUGGAACCCGUCGCUAAUACCGCAUACCAUCAGUUGCCCCCUUAUGGUAUGAGCUUGUAGGUGGGGUAACGGCUCAACAAGGCGACGAUCCCUAGCUGGUCUGAGAGGCUGAUCAGCCACACUGUGACUGGGACACGGCCCAGACUCCUACGGGAGGCAGCAGUGGGGAAUAUUGCACAAUGGGCGAAAGCCGGAUGCAGCCAUGCCGCGUGUAUGAAGAAGGCCUUCGGGUUGUAAAGUACUUUCAGUCGGGAGGCGUUAGCGAAAGAAGAAGCACCGGCUAACUCCGUGCCAGCAGCCGCGGUAAUAG